AGGGUUUGAUCAUGGCUCAGGAUGAACGCUGGCGGUAUGCCUAACACAUGCAAGUCGUACGAGAGUUUUUAACUCUAGUGGCGGACGGGUGAGUAACACGUGAGAAUUUGCCUUUAGGAGGGGGAUAACAAUUGGAAACGAAUGCUAAUACCCCAUAUGCUUUCGAGUGAAAUGGAUUUAUAUUUAUUCGCCUAAAGAGAAGCUCGCGGCUGAUUAGCUUGUUGGUAAGGUAAGAGCUUACCAAGGCGACGAUCAGUAUCUGGUUUGAGAGGACGAUCAGACACACUGGAACUGAGACACGGUCCAGACUCCUACGGGAGGCAGCAGUGGGGAAUUUUCCGCAAUGGGCGAAAGCCUGACGGAGCAAUACCGCGUGAGGGAAGACUGCCUAUGGGUUGUAAACCUCUUUUUUCAGGGAGGAAUAAAAUGACGUGUACCUGAAGAAUAAGCAUCGGCUAACUCCGUGCCAGCAGCCGCGGUAAGACGGAGGAUGCAAGUGUUAUCCGGAAUCACUGGGCGUAAAGCGUCUGUAGGUGGUUUGAUAAGUCAACUGUUAAAUCUUGAGGCUCAACUUCAAAAUCGCAGUCGAAACUAUUAGACUAGAGUAUAGUAGAGGUAAAGGGAAUUUCCAGUGGAGCGGUGAAAUGCGUAGAUAUUGGAAAGAACACCGAUGGCGAAAGCGCUUUACUGGGCUAUUACUAACACUCAGAGACGAAAGCUAGGGUAGCAAAUGGGAUUAGAUACCCCAGUAGUCCUAGCUGUAAACUAUGAAUACUAGAUGUUGAACAGAUCGACCUGUGCAGUAUCAAAGCUAACGCGUUAAGUAUCCCGCCUGGGAAGUAUGCACGCAAGUGUGAAACUCAAGGAAUUGACGGGGGCCCGCACAAGCGGUGGAGCAUGUGGUUUAAUUCGA
rnacentral:rRNA from 1 species